GAUUGCUGGUUCCUCUUCUCUCAACUCGGGUCUCUACCCUCUUCUGCCACGUGUUCCAUGUUCCUGCAGAGCUAGGAGAUUCUUACCUUUGCUGUGGAUCUAACUCCCUUCCACACACAUAAGCAGCAGAUGACCCAGGACAGAAGAAGGCACAAAGAAAGGUCCCACCGAAUGCUUCCCAAGGCCUCUAUGCCGGAGGACCUCCGUUUGAAGAAACAGAGGAUGGUUCUUACUGAAGACUCAAGCUGCAUUGGAAAGUGCUGGCCCAUGGCAACUUUCCAGAGAAUGAGAAGAAGAAGUAAAGGAAGGCCCAGGCUAGGAUCACAACGUAGCUGAUGUUUCCAAAGAAAAUGAUAAUCUGGCUGGCAUACCCCAUACCUGGAAAUACCCAAUCAUUUCUAUUGGAUUACUUCAUAAUUGUCACCUUAUCUUACUGCACUCUGCUCACUCUCUGAUUGAUCAGGCAGUUUGCUCACCUUCAAACAAGGGGCAGAUCUUCCUCCAGCACAUGAUUCCUCCCUGACUAGUGUACUGGCCCAGUGAUGUUUCCAGGACAAACAGAGGAACGCCGCAGGUGACAAGAAAGAGGAAGUAAGGGACGAAGAAUGCACCUGCAAGUGACAGUAAAGUCUAUAAACACUGUUACCGAACAGACUCUUGAAUGAUGCAUACCAUGAAUAACUAUACUUUAGUUUUGAAAAGAACACCCCUGCCUGUGCUGUGCAGUGUCUGCAGACAAAAGUAAGUGGUGACCAAGAGCACCUCACAAAAAGGUCGAUCUCACUGAACAGAGCUAAUUUUAAGUUGUCUAAAUUUGAGUCCAACAAAUUCUUAAAAAAUGGUGAUCGUCUCCAUCGAAACAAUUUUUUAAUUCAGACGUUGCAUCAGUUGUUUUAUAAUUCACAGCUGGAAAUGUAGCUGAAAAUCACCAAUGACCUAUGUAGCUUUUCUUUGUAAGUGGAACAAAAUUUGGUUACUGAUCUUCUACACUUCAGUCUAAACAUAAGAUAAGACGUUAUUGAUCUCACAAUGGAGAAAUUAAAUUGUUACAGCAGCUCUUAGUAACACACAAGUAGGGUGCAAAUAGGGAUGCAAUGCAAUCAAAGAAGAACAAGGUAAAUGUGCAAAACCAGAAAAAAUAAUUAUAGAGUAAAGGUAACAUAUGUACAAUAAAUCCAUCAAUAAAUGGAGGUGAUUGUGUUAAAUUGACAA